AAGCGCAGGGAUUCGUUGAGCGAACCGGUACUAAUGAAMCGUGAGGCUUAACSUUACAACGCCGAAG
rnacentral:rRNA from 1 species